CAGGCUUUUUUGAACUCUCAAGAUUUUGCAAGAGAAUGUUCCCAAAUGACGAAAAAGAGACGUCAGCACCAGAAAUUCCCUCCGGGUCCCCUUCACCACCAAGGUACUAGUUGAGCGACAAAUGGUUUGCCUUCGCGGAGCGGACGUGAGGCGGAAUUCUUCACUUCCUAUGGCCGAGGAUGUUUGAAAGGACUGUGAGGUGAAAAAGACACCAGCGAUCAAAGGGAAACUAUGCCCUUGCAUUAUCGCGCAGGCAUAGAGAAGGAAAAUAAUAUCAAAUGCCAAUGAAGUUCAU
rnacentral:sRNA from 1 species